rnacentral:rRNA from 1 species
GUAGGUGGCAAGCGUUGUCCGGAAUUAUUGGGCGUAAAGCGCGCGCAGGCGGUUCUUUAAGUCUGAUGUGAAAGCCCACGGCUCAACCGUGGAGGGUCAUUGGAAACUGGAGAACUUGAGUACAGAAGAGGAAAGCGGAAUUCCACGUGUAGCGGUGAAAUGCGUAGAGAUGUGGAGGAACACCAGUGGCAAAGGCGGCUUUCUGGUCUGUAACUGACGCUGAGGCGCGAAAGCGUGGGGAGCAAACAGGGAUUAGAUACCCUGGUAGUCCACGCCGUAAACGAUGAGUGCUAAGUGUUAGGGGGUUUCCCGCCCCUUAGUGCUGCAGCUAACGCAUUAAGCACUCCGCCUGGGGAGUACGGCCGCAAGGCUG